GAAAUGCGAUAAGUAGUGUGAAUUGCAGAAUUCAGUGAAUCAUCGAAUCUUUGAACGCACAUUGCGCCCCUUGGUAUUCCAUGGGGCAUGCCUGUUCGAGCGUCAUUUGUACCCUCAAGCUCUGCUUGGUGUUGGGUGUUUGUCCCGUCUCCGCGCGUGGACUCGCCCCAAAGUGAUUGGCAGCCGGCGUACUGGUCCCGGAGCGCAGCACAUGUCGCGCAAACGAGCGCCUUGGUACGGCGGCGUCCAUAAGCCCCUCUCUCACGCUCUUGACCUCGGAUCAGGUAGGGAUACCCGCUGAACUUAAGC
rnacentral:misc_RNA from 1 species